GAAUCCCGUGAACCAUCGAGUCUUUGAACGCAAGUUGCGCCUGAAGCCAUUAGGUUGAAGGCACGUCUGCCUGGGCGUCACGC
rnacentral:rRNA from 1 species